rnacentral:rRNA from 1 species
GAUUAACGCUGGCGGCGUGCAUAACACAUUCAAGUCGAACGAAGUAGCAAUACUUAGUGGCGGACGGGUGAGUAACGCGUGAGCAAUCUACCUUCCAGUGCGGAAUAACAACCGGAAACAGUUGCUAAUACCGCAUGAAAUGGCAGUACCGCCUGGUACAACCAUCAAAGUCUUGCUGCUGGAAGAUGAGCUUGCGUCAGAUUAGAUAGUUGGUGGGGUAGCGGCCCACCAAGUCGACGAUCGGUAGCCGGACUGAGCGGUUGAACGGCCACAUUGGAACUGAGAUACGGUCCAGACUCCUACGGGAGGCAGCAGUGGGGAAUAUUGGGCAAUGGGCGAAAGCCUGACCCAGCGACGCCGCGUGAGGGAAGAAGAUCUUCGGAUUGUAAACCUUAGUCAACAGGGAAGAAGAAAGUGACGGUACCUGUGGAGGAAGCCACGGCUAACUACGUGCCAGCAGCCGCAGUAACAC